rnacentral:rRNA from 1 species
CCCUAGUAACUGCGAGUGAAGCGGGAAGAGCUCAAAUUUAAAAUCUGGCGCCUUCGGCGUCCGAGUUGUAACCUAGAGAAGCGUUUUCCGCGUCGGAUCGUGUACAAGUCCCUUGGAACAGGGCGUCAUAGAGGGUGAGAAUCCCGUUCUUGACACGACUGCCGAGGCUGUGUGAUGCGCUCUCAAAGAGUCGAGUUGUUUGGGAAUGCAGCUCAAAAUGGGUGGUAAAUUCCAUCUAAAGCUAAAUAUUGGCGAGAGACCGAUAGCGAACAAGUACCGUGAGGGAAAGAUGAAAAGCACUUUGGAAAGAGAGUCAAACAGUACGUGAAAUUGCUGAAAGGGAAGCGCUUGAAGUCAGUCGCGUCUGUCGGAUUCAGCCUUAACGGUGUAUUUCUGACUGACGGGCCAACAUCGAUUUUGACCGACGGAAAAGGGUUUGAGGAAGGUGGCCGUUCGCGGUGUUAUAGCCUCUUGCCGUACACGUCGGUUGGGAUCGAGGACCGCGGCUUUGCCUAGGAUGUUGGCGUAAUGGCUUUAAACGACCCGUCUUGAAACACGGACCAAGGAGUCUAACAUGUCUGCGAGUGUUUGGGUGUCAAACCCGGGCGCGAAAUGAAAGUGAAAAGAUGGGAAGCGCAAGCUGCACCAUCGACCGAUCCGGAUCUUUAGUGAUGGAUUUGAGUAAGAGCAUAUAUGUUGGGACCCGAAAGAUGGUGAACUAUGCCUGAAUAGGGCGAAGCCAGAGGAAACUCUGGUGGAGGCUCGUAGCGAUUCUGACGUGCAAAUCGAUCGUCAAAUUUGGGUAUAGGGGC